AGCAGACAUACACUGAAGAAGCUAUUUAAACUAGGAGGAAGUUUACUUAUAAAACAACUGCUAUUAAAAUGCAGAACACUAUAUUUGUUUGUCAAAGAACAUUGGAGUAAAUGUGAAGCAUGAAAAUUGGGCAAAGGUUUGAGUAAGAUAUUUCAAAGUUUGAGACCAAGAAUACUGAAGGACCCUUGUGGAUGAUGGAGAGUAGUGAGAAAAGGGUUCUGGGGGCUGGUAUUGAGGUGCUGAGGGGAGAGCUGGAGGUGGUAGGCCUGGGGCUGGAGGAGCUGGGAGAUUGUCCCUGGGAGGAGGUGGAUGUUCCCCGCAUGGAGGGGGGCUGUACUCCCCUUAUCACUGCCUGCCAGAGGGGCUUGACUGAGGUUGUACACUUCCUUCUGAAAAGAGGAGCCGAUGUAACUCUGUGCAACCAUAGCAACCAGACACCACUGCAUGUGAGUCUUCCAGUCCUCCAGGGGGUGCUGUUAUCAGCCAUGUUCAGGGCUUUGCCCCACCAGACCCAGCUCCUCCAGGCUGCUUGGCAGGGAGACCUCCACUCCCUGCAGCACCUUCUGGCCCAGACUGACCUAGUAGACGUGAACACUCAGAACCGCGACGGGCUGACCCCUCUAAUGCUGGCUGUGAGGGACGUCGACUUGUUUGAGGAGCUGGACGUCCGGUUGCCAUGGGAAUACAGACCUGUGGAGGUGGUCAGGGAACUGCUGGCUCUCUCAGCUGACCUGGGGGUGUGUGAUGUCAACGGCUGUUCUGCUCUUCACUAUGCUGGACAGAUAGAGAGCCCCCUGAAAGACGAACUCAUCCACAUGAUGGUUGAGUCCCUCAGACAGCCAGCGCCCACGCCCCUGGACCUGCAGUGCUUCCACCCUGAUGAGCUGAGAGUAAACUCCCCCAGCCCCUCUCCCUCUCUAACCGAUGAGCUGAGAGCAGCAAACUCCCCAAGCUCCUCUCUCUAUCUGACCCAAAAUGUCCUCAUUCAGACUGCUGCCAGCACAGAGGUAAGUGAUCCUCCGGUUGUACAGUUAUGUAAGAAGUGUACAAGUCUGUAAU
rnacentral:lncRNA from 1 species